AAAUUGAAGAGUUUGAUCAUGGCUCAGAUUGAACGCUGGCGGCAGGCCUAACACAUGCAAGUCGAGCGGUAGCACAGAGAGCUUGCUCUCGGGUGACGAGCGGCGGACGGGUGAGUAAUGUCUGGGAAACUGCCUGAUGGAGGGGGAUAACUACUGGAAACGGUAGCUAAUACCGCAUAACGUCGCAAGACCAAAGUGGGGGACCUUCGGGCCUCAUGCCAUCAGAUGUGCCCAGAUGGGAUUAGCUAGUAGGUGGGGUAACGGCUCACCUAGGCGACGAUCCCUAGCUGGUCUGAGAGGAUGACCAGCCACACUGGAACUGAGACACGGUCCAGACUCCUACGGGAGGCAGCAGUGGGGAAUAUUGCACAAUGGGCGCAAGCCUGAUGCAGCCAUGCCGCGUGUGUGAAGAAGGCCUUCGGGUUGUAAAGCACUUUCAGCGGGGAGGAAGGCGGUGAGGUUAAUAACCUCAUCGAUUGACGUUACCCGCAGAAGAAGCACCGGCUAACUCCGUGCCAGCAGCCGCGGUAAUACGGAGGGUGCAAGCGUUAAUCGGAAUUACUGGGCGUAAAGCGCACGCAGGCGGUCUGUCAAGUCGGAUGUGAAAUCCCCGGGCUCAACCUGGGAACUGCAUUCGAAACUGGCAGGCUAGAGUCUUGUAGAGGGGGUAGAAUUCCAGGUGUAGCGGUGAAAUGCGUAGAGAUCUGGAGGAAUACCGGUGGCGAAGGCGGCCCCCUGGACAAAGACUGACGCUCAGGUGCGAAAGCGUGGGGAGCAAACAGGAUUAGAUACCCUGGUAGUCCACGCCGUAAACGAUGUCGAUUUGGAGGUUGUGCCCUUGAGGCGUGGCUUCCGGAGCUAACGCGUUAAAUCGACCGCCUGGGGAGUACGGCCGCAAGGUUAAAACUCAAAUGAAUUGACGGGGGCCCGCACAAGCGGUGGAGCAUGUGGUUUAAUUCGAUGCAACGCGAAGAACCUUACCUGGUCUUGACAUCCACAGAACUUAGCAGAGAUGCUUUGGUGCCUUCGGGAACUGUGAGACAGGUGCUGCAUGGCUGUCGUCAGCUCGUGUUGUGAAAUGUUGGGUUAAGUCCCGCAACGAGCGCAACCCUUAUCCUUUGUUGCCAGCGGUUAGGCCGGGAACUCAAAGGAGACUGCCAGUGAUAAACUGGAGGAAGGUGGGGAUGACGUCAAGUCAUCAUGGCCCUUACGACCAGGGCUACACACGUGCUACAAUGGCAUAUACAAAGAGAAGCGACCUCGCGAGAGCAAGCGGACCUCAUAAAGUAUGUCGUAGUCCGGAUUGGAGUCUGCAACUCGACUCCAUGAAGUCGGAAUCGCUAGUAAUCGUAGAUCAGAAUGCUACGGUGAAUACGUUCCCGGGCCUUGUACACACCGCCCGUCACACCAUGGGAGUGGGUUGCAAAAGAAGUAGGUAGCUUAACCUUCGGGAGGGCGCUUACCACUUUGUGAUUCAUGACUGGGGUGAAGUCGUAACAAGGUAACCGUAGGGGAACCUGCGGUUGGAUCACCUCCUUA
rnacentral:rRNA from 1 species